rnacentral:tRNA from 1 species
UAGCCUGGUGGUAAGGCUUUGGAUCGCCAAUCCGGAGACGACGGGUUUGAUUCCCGU